UGCUAACUCAACGGUAGAGUACUCGGCUUUUAUCCGACUAGCUCCGGGUUCGAAUCCCGGGCAA
rnacentral:tRNA from 1 species